AUGGGGCGUAGGCCUCCCAAAAGGUAACGNAGGCGUGCAAAGGUUUCCUCGGGCCGGACGUACAUUGGUCCUCGAGUGCAAAGGCAGAAGGGAACUUGACUGCAAGACUCACCCUCGAGCAGAGACGAAAAUCGGCCUUAGUGAUCUGACGGUGCCGAGUGGAAGGGCCGUCGCUCAACGGAUAAAAGUUACUCUAGGGAUAACAGGCUGAUCUUCCCCAAGAGUCCACAUCGACGGGAAGGUUUGGCACCUCGAUGUCGGCUC
rnacentral:ncRNA from 1 species